GAUGAAGAACGUAGCGAAAUGCGAUACGUAAUGUGAAUUGCAGAAUUCAGUGAAUCAUCGAAUCUUUGAACGCAUAUUGCGCUCUCUGGUAUUCCGGAGAGCAUGCUUGUUUGAGUAUCAGUAAACACCUCAACUUCCAUAUCUUUUUUGAAAUGGGAGUUGGACUUGAGUGAUCCCAACGCUUUUCCUCACCGAAAAGUGGCGGGUUACUUGAAAUGCAGGUGCAGCUGGACUUUUCUCUGAGCUAUAAGCAUAUCUAUUUAGUCUGCCUAAAAACAGAUUAUUACCUUUGCUGCGGCUAACAUAAAGGAGAUUAGUUCUUGUGCUGACUGAUGCAGGAUUCACAAAGACAGGCUUCGGCCGACUUUGUAAACUCGAUCUCAAAUCAAGUAAGACUACCCGCUGAACUUAAGCAUAUCAAUAAGCGGAGGA
rnacentral:misc_RNA from 1 species